rnacentral:tRNA from 1 species
GUUUUAAUAAUUUAAUAAAAAUAAUGACUUUGUAAGUCAAAAUUAAGUUUCAAACUUUUAAAACA